GCGCGUAGCCUAACACAUGUCAAGUCGAGCGGUAGAGAGAAGCUUGCUUCUCUUGAGAGCGGCGGACGGGUGAGUAAUGCCUAGGAAUCUGCCUGGUAGUGGGGGAUAACGUCCGGAAACGGACGCUAAUACCGCAUACGUCCUACGGGAGAAAGCAGGGGACCUUCGGGCCUUGCGCUAUCAGAUGAGCCUAGGUCGGAUUAGCUAGUUGGUGAGGUAAUGGCUCACCAAGGCGACGAUCCGUAACUGGUCUGAGAGGAUGAUCAGUCACACUGGAACUGAGACACGGUCCAGACUCCUACGGGAGGCAGCAGUGGGGAAUAUUGGACAAUGGGCGAAAGCCUGAUCCAGCCAUGCCGCGUGUGUGAAGAAGGUCUUCGGAUUGUAAAGCACUUUAAGUUGGGAGGAAGGGCAGUUGCCUAAUACGUAACUGUUUUGACGUUACCGACAGAAUAAGCACCGGCUAACUCUGUGCCAGCAGCCGCGGUAAUACAGAGGGUGCAAGCGUUAAUCGGAAUUACUGGGCGUAAAGCGCGCGUAGGUGGUUUGUUAAGUUGGAUGUGAAAUCCCCGGGCUCAACCUGGGAACUGCAUUCAAAACUGACUGACUAGAGUAUGGUAGA
rnacentral:rRNA from 1 species